ACUCCCUCUGGCAGCACAGACUCUAAAUUUGGAGCAAUACAGAGAAAAUUAGCAUGGAUGUUGUGCAAGGAUGACAUGAAAAUUCAUGAAGUGUUCCAGAAUUUU